rnacentral:SRP_RNA from 1 species
GCCGGGCGUGGUGGCCUGCGCCUGUAAUCCCAGCUACUCGGGAGGCUGAGACAGGAGAAUCGCUUGGACCCAGGAGGGGGAGGUUGCAGUGAGCCGAGGUCGCGCCACUGCACUCCAGCCUGGGCCACAGAGCGAGACUCUGUCUCGA